UGGGGAAUUUUGCGCAAUGGGCGAAAGCCUGACGCAGCAACGCCGCGUGUGUGAUGAAGGUCUUCGGAUUGUAAAGCACUUUCGACCGGGACGAAAACCCGUAGCCUAACACGCUACGGCUUGACGGUACCGGGAGAAGAAGCACCGGCUAACUCUGUGCCAGCAGCCGCGGUAAUACAGAGGGUGCAAGCGUUGUUCGGAAUUAUUGGGCGUAAAGCGCGUGUAGGCGGCGUGACAAGUCGGGUGUGAAAGCCCUCAGCUCAACUGAGGAAGUGCGCCCGAAACUGUCGUGCUUGAGUGCCGGAGAGGGUGGCGGAAUUCCCCAAGUAGAGGUGAAAUUCGUAGAUAUGGGGAGGAACACCGGUGGCGAAGGCGGCCACCUGGACGGUAACUGACGCUGAGACGCGAAAGCGUGGGGAGCAAACAGG
rnacentral:rRNA from 1 species